rnacentral:sRNA from 12 species
UAAUGAUGCAGAUAGGGCUUGCCUAUGCUGUAUACUCGCAACACCGAAUUAACGUUUAAGCGACUUGUAAAGUCGCCGGAUGCGAGGGCCGCCGAAAGGCGGUUUUUUUUACCU